rnacentral:misc_RNA from 1 species
GGGGGGGGGGGGGGGGGGGGGGGGGGGGGGGGGGGGGGGGGGGGG